GAUGAACGCUGGCGGCGUGCCUAAUACAUGCAAGUCGAGCGAACGGACGAGAAGCUUGCUUCUCUGAUGUUAACGGCGGACGGGUUAGUAACACGUGGAUAACCUACCUAUAAGACUGGGAUAACUUCGGGAAACCGGAGCUAAUACCGGAUAAUAUUUUGAACCGCAUGGUUCAAAAGUUAAAGACGGUCUUGCUGUCACUUAUAGAUGGAUCCGCGCUGCAUUAGCUAGUUGGUAAGGUAACGGCUUACCAAGGCAACGAUGCAUAGCCGACCUGAGAGGGUGAUCGGCCACACUGGAACUGAGACACGGUCCAGACUCCUACGGGAGGCAGCAGUAGGGAAUCUUCCGCAAUGGGCGAAAGCCUGACGGAGCAACGCCGCGUGAAUGAUGAAGGUCUUCGGAUCGUAAACCUCUGUUAUUCGGGAAGAACAUAUGUGUAAGUAACUGUGCACCUCUUGACGGUACCUAAUCAGAAAGCCACGGCUAACUACGUG
rnacentral:rRNA from 1 species